rnacentral:sRNA from 1 species
ACAGGGUGGUUACCCUCCAACUUCAGAAGAAGGGGGGUGAUGUUAUGAAUACAUAUCAGGUAUUAACAUUAUUGUUUAUAUUUGGAAGUUUUCUAAUUUCUCUCCUUGCCUAUAUCGACAAGAAGAAAUAAAAAAGCCUACCCUGU